AUUUACACAUACCAAAAACUAGGAAACAUGGCUUUUAUUCAUUACCUGCAGAACAUUGAAAACACAAGUGCAGAAAGCUCGUAGAACGAACUAUUAGGUCCUGAUAACAAACUAGAAUUAAAACAAGCACUCGAUGCAGAGAUGAAACAUCAUAGAUGAUCUGUCUCUUAUUAUGCAUGUAUAUUAGUUCUAACAUCACUGUUCAUUGAUAUACUGAAACUUAGUAAGUGUUCCCAUAGAACAUGGGAUAGCCAAAUUUAUCAUAAAAUGGGCUUUGCUCUUCUGCUGCUGGCACAGGCCAAUCUGAUGUGUAAUUCAGGUCAUUCCAGACAUCAAUUGAUUCCGGAAAUGGUGCCAGUUCAGGAGAAUUGCCUUCCUGUUGUGGAAUCCCAUCGAUUGUAGCUUGAUUUUCAAAAUUCAUAAACCAGUUUGUUUCAGCAGCACCAAAGGUUGAAUAAUUUUCCAUCUGAUAUAAAUCAGAACCAGUGUAAACAGUUUCACAUUCAUUAUAGUUUGGCAAAUGACCACCAUCAUCUGACUUAUACAUUACUUUGCAGAGAAUAAAAGUGCGCAGUUGGUCUGCAAAACAAGUGGCAUCAUAUUCGUGCAUGAUCCACCUGGUCCUUACUCCGGUAGGAGUACGACCCUCAUGGUAAACCAAUAUUGUUUUUGUACCUAUCUCUUCCCGUCCCUCCUUAAUCUUCGAUCCGUAGCCGGUAACUUUCCAGUAUCCAGCGUCCGUUUUCCUCCUGUUUAUUUCUUGGCGAGGACGAAAGAAAUACCACUCUCGAUCACUCGAGUUUAUUACUCCUGAAAGCCCUGCUCAAGCAUAGUAAAUCAUUUAAAAUUUUGUAGAAAAGAAAAGAAUCUACUCGGCACAUACACUUACCAGGUAACACCCGAGGCUCAUGAUCGUUGAUAUUAAUUACAGGGAUUCUUGGGUCAUCGUAGCCGUUCAUUAUUUUUGCUAUUAAAAGAAGCAGCAAUUCCUUGUCGUUUGGUCGGAUCAAUGGUACGGGGCUUGUCAUCUUUUCCAGUCACUAUGUAUUUUUGCACCUGCAACGAAAUUGUAUUUAAGAUUUCAAGAAUAAAAUCAAGAAGAAGUUGAAAGUAGAAAAUAUUUGCUAACUCAAUUAAGCAGCAAAUAUUUCAUUCCACUUCCUAAAAUGGGAAUCAGACGAGGAGAGACUGGAAAUUGCAAGUAAGAGAUGAGACAGUAAGUGAAGUGAGA
rnacentral:misc_RNA from 1 species